UCCUCCUUCGGCUUCUCUGUUCCUUUUCCCUAGGUCUCCCGCCCUCCUUUUAUUUUCCUCCUAAUUAACAUCGUGGACAAGGUCCGCUGCUAAGUUAAAAGAGUUUAUCCAAGCUGACACUCUGUUUAUAAUUUAUAAUUCACAUUCCAGCUUUCGCAAGGUCCUUCCAUUUCUAGAGCGUGGCCAGUGUGCUCUCCGCGUGCUUGGCGUUGGACUGGGGAGUGAAGGAGAGCAAAGGUCAGGCCUGCAAUUGCCAGGAGGCUGAUGAAACCCGGGGGCUUCAUGUGACAGAUGUGCGGACACCAUGUGAGCAUGUUUACUCAUCGCCCACAAGUAGCAGGAUCUUUAUGAUGGUCAUGGAAAUUCCCCGGCCCAGGGGCUUGGGGCGUGAGGCAUGAGGGAGCUGGCCAUUUCCCCCUAGUGCACAGCCCCCUCAUCAGCAGCAGCCCCUUGCCCUGUCCUUAAUCUCGCCUCCGUUUAAGAUGCGUCCAAAUUAUAACGGGGCUGGGGGCUGGAAUGCACACACAGCUUCCUCUUCCGAGCCCGGAGCGAUCUUGGGAGCUGGAUGGUGGAGCCAGAUGAUGGAGCCAGGAUUGGGCAACAACAUACAUUCGAGGCAUCCACCUUUCCUGAUUGGGGAAAGACCAUGGCCUUCGAUGAUUGCAGACUUCGCCGUCACAGCCCAGAGGAAAGAAGUUUCCUUUUGUCAGCAUCUAUAUACACAGGUCUCUGGGGGAAUCUCAUUUGCUUUUCUUGGUGUGCAUGCCCAGACCUUGGACCCGUGGCCAUGACCAGGGUUGAUGGUUACGGUGAUUGACAGGUCCAGUGUAAUUACAGGCACUUGGGGACCCAGCAGCUCCCCAAAGAGAUGGGAGGCAUUUUACCACUCACUCAUCCAUGUACUCAUUGAAUGCUGACCACUUGUCUGCUCUGGGCCAGGCCCUCUUCUGAGUCUUGGAGUUACAGUGGUGGCAAGAAAUAAGAGUUCUCUGCCCUCAUGGAGGUUCCAUCCUGCUGAUAGUAAGGAGGAGUCACGCAGCGUCCAAAUAAUGAAAGACAACAUUGGCUGUGCUAAGUUCUGUAUUUAGCAUAAAGUAAGGCGAUACUGGGAGGGUGGCCCGGGAGUGGUCAGAAAAGGCAUCUCUGAGUAGGGCGCCUGGAAGCUGAGACCGACAUGCCAAGAAAAAGCCACCAUUCAUAGAUCUGUAGGAAGAGCAUUCUGGGCGGAUAGAGCAGCUGACUCUGUGUGUUAGAGAACAAGAGAGGCGGGAAGUGUGGCUGGAGCUCACUAAGUGAGGGAGAAGGGUAGAUGCAUCCAGGUUGGAUGGAGAGAUGGCCAGGGAGGGGUCACUGCUGAUCUUGAGAAGCAGAUGUGGUCCAAAGAUGUUUCUGGCUGCUGUGAAGGGAGGCAGGAGUGAAGACGGGAGAGGAGGCGGGAGGCUGCUACAGGUGAGGGAUGGGGUCCAGAUGGGGUUGGAAGGGGGGCAGGCAGGACCGGUGGAUGGACUGGGUGUGUGAGGGGGAAAUCAAGGAUAACACCGGGGGGUUAGGUUUUGAGCUGGGCGAACAGUGGUGUCCUUUAAGAAGAAGUGGGAGGGAGUUCCCCUCGUGACUCAGUGGUUAAUGAAUCCGACUAAGAACCAUGAGGUUGCGGGUUCGAUCCCUGGCCUUGCUCAGUGGGUUAAGGAUCCAGCAUUGCCGUGAGCUGUGGUGUAGGUCACAGACAUGGCUCGGAUCCCACGUUGCUAUGGCCCUGGCGUAGGCCGGUGGCUAUGGCUCCGAUUCAACCCC
rnacentral:lncRNA from 1 species